rnacentral:rRNA from 1 species
AUUGAACGCUGGCGGCAUGCCUUACACAUGCAAGUCGAACGGUAACGGGCCUUCGGGUGCCGACGAGUGGCGAACGGGUGAGCAAUGCAUCGGAACGUACCUUUCAGUGGGGGAUAACGUAGCGAAAGUUACGCUAAUACCGCAUAUUCUGUGAGCAGGAAAGCAGGGGAUCGCAAGACCUUGCGCUGAUUGAGCGGCCGAUGUCAGAUUAGCUAGUUGGUGAGGUAAAGGCUCACCAAAGCGACGAUCUGUAGCGGGUCUGAGAGGAUGAUCGGCCACACUGGAACUGAGACACGGUCCAUACUCCUACGGGAGGCAGCAAUGGGGAAUUUUGGACAAUGGGGGCAACCCUGAUCCAGCCAUGCCGCGUGAGUGAAGAAGGCCUUCGGGUUGUAAAGCUCUUUCGGCCGGGAAGAAAUCGUAUGGGUUAAUACCCUGUGCGGAUGACGGUACCGGCAUAAGAAGCACCGGCUAACUACGUGCCAGCAGCCGCCGCCGUAA